AAACUUCCUACCUCAUUUGAUUUUCCAGAGAAUUCUACUUUUUCCUUCCUGAAAGACUAGAGUCAGUGCAUAUUCUCUAGUCAGCUGCCACCCCUGCUGAGAAAUCAUGCAGAUAAUCAUCCUUCUUCAAGGAAUCACAAACAGGGGGCAUCUUUCUGCAUUGCACCAAACGCCAUUGUGAAGAGAAGGAAAAUCACUCACAAUCUGCCUGCAUUUCCAUCUGAGCUUCCUGUAUCAGAAAUGAUGAGGACUCAGAGAGUGAAAUUCACACGAAAAGAAGAGGUGAAAUAUUACAGGGGCCCAUAGAGACACAGUGAUGAGAAUUUGGUGUUAAAAAGAGAAAUAUAACUGACUACACACAAAAAACUGUAAGAGAUCAGAGGAAAGCAAACAAAGCCUGUCAUUCCAAAUCAGAAAUGAAGAACAGCUGUGAAUAGAGGAAGAGCAAAAGAG
rnacentral:lncRNA from 1 species